AGCCAACCUCUAGCCUCGCCCUAAACCAGUAAAACACACUUUUCCCCUCAACUAAAACAUUCUCCUCAACCUAGUAUAGGCGAUAGAAAAGAACCCCCAGAGCGCAAUAGAGACUAUGUACCGUAAGGGAAAGAUGAAAUAGCAAUGAAACCCAAAGCAACAAACAGCAAAGAUGAACCCUUGUACCUUUCGCAUCAUGAUUUAGCAAGAACAACCAAGCAAAGCGAACUUAAGCUUGCCCCCCCGAAACCCGAGCGAGCUACUUGCAGGCAGCUGCAUUACCGAGCGAACCCGUCUCUGUCGCAAAAGAGUGGGAUGACUUGCCAGUAGAGGUGAAAAGCCUAUCGAGCCGAGUGAUAGCUGGUUGCCUGUGAAACGAAUCUAAGUUCCCCCUUAGCCCCCCUCCCUGCCCGACACAUAACCUAACAUGAGAGGACUAAGAGCUCUUUAAAGGAGGUACAGCCCCUUUAAAACAGGAUACAACCUUCAUUAGAGGAUAACACCCCACUACUACCCUACAGUAGGCCUUCAAGCAGCCACCAGUAAAGAAUGCGUCAAAGCUCUCACCACAAAAAUCCAACAGAUAACAUGACUCCCUUCUCACUAACAGGCCAAUCUAUAGACAUAGAAGAAUUAAUGCUAAAAUGAGUAACCUGGGCCCUCCCUCUCAAGCGCAAGCUUACAUUCCCCACAUUAUUAACAGGCCAGAGCCUAAUAUGCCCAAACCCGAACAAGAAUAAAGUAUUAACCAACCCUGUUAACCCAACCCAGGAGCGCCUGCUAGAAAGAUUUAAAUCUGUAAAAGGAACUAGGCAAACCCAAGGCCCGACUGUUUACCAAAAACAUAGCCUUCAGCACACCAAGUAUUGAAGGUGACGCCUGCCCAGUGACACUACGUUCAACGGCCGCGGUAUCCUAACCGUGCAAAGGUAGCGCAAUCAAUUGUCCCAUAAAUCGAGACCUGUAUGAACGGCCAAACGAGGUCUUAACUGUCUCUUACAGAUAAUCAGUGAAAUUGAUCUCCCUGUGCAAAAGCAGGGAUACACCCACAAGACGAGAAGACCCUGUGGAACUUAAAAAUCAAUGGCCACCACCCAAAAACCCUACCCCUUCCCCAGAAGAACCCCCAACACCACCAAGCACUGGCCACUAUUUUUCGGUUGGGGCGACCUUGGAGAAAAACAAACCCUCCAAAACAAAGACCACACCUCUUGACCAAGAACAUCACCUCAACGUACUAACAGUAACCAGACCCAAUAACAAUUGAGCAAUGAACCAAGCUACCCCAGGGAUAACAGCGCAAUCCCCUCCAAGAGCCCCUAUCGACGAGGGGGUUUACGACCUCGAUGUUGGAUCAGGACAUCCUAAUGGUGCAGCCGCUAUUAAGGGUUCGUUUGUUCAACGAUUAACAGUCCUACGUGAUCUGAGUUCAGACCGGAGCAAUCCAGGUCGGUUUCUAUCUGUGCUGGACCCUUCCUAGUACGAAAGGACCGGAAGAGUGAGGCCUAUACCACAUAGCACGCCUCCAAAAAAAUAAUGAAUGCAACUCAAUUACCAACACCCAUAUUCACCCUAGACAAGGGCA
rnacentral:rRNA from 1 species